rnacentral:rRNA from 1 species
GAUGAACGCUGGCGGCGUGCCUAAUACAUGCGAGUCGAGCGAACGGACGAGAAGCUUGCCUCUCUGAUGUUAGCGGCGGACGGGUGAGUAACACGUGGAUAACCUACCUAUAAGACUGGGAUAACUUCGGGAAACCGUAGCUAAUACCGGAUAAUAUUUUGAACCGCAUGGUUCAAAAGUGAAAGACGGUCUUGCUGUCACUUAUAGAUGGAUCCGCGCUGCAUUAGCUAGUUGGUAAGGUAACGGCUUACCAAGGCAACGAUGCAUAGCCGACCUGAGAGGGUGAUCGGCCACACUGGAACUGAGCCACGGUCCAGACUCCUACGGGAGGCAGCAGUAGGGAAUCUUCCGCAAUGGGCGAAAGCCUGACGGAGCAACGCCGCGUGAGUGAUGAAGGUCUUCGGAUCGUAAAACUCUGUUAUUAGGGAGGAACAUAUGUGUAAGUAACUGUGCACAUCUUGACGGUACCUAAUCAGAAAGCCACGGCUAACUACGUG